CAAGUCGAACGUGAAAGGGCUUCGGCCUGAGUAAAGUGGCGCACGGGUGAGUAACGCGUGGGUAAUCUGGCCCGUCCGGGCGGGGGAUAACGGGUCGAAAGACCCGCUAAUACCGCAUAAGACCACGGCCUCGAGGGGUUGUGGGAAAAGGUGGGGAUCUUCGGACCUAUCACCUGGAGAUGAGCCCGCGUGCCAUUAGGUAGUUGGCGGGGUAAUGGCCCACCAAGCCGAAGAUGGCUAGCUGGUCUGAGAGGAUGAUCAGCCACACUGGAACUGAGACACGGUCCAGACUCCUACGGGAGGCAGCAGUGGGGAAUAUUGCGCAAUGGGGGAAACCCUGACGCAGCAACGCCGCGUGUGUGAUGAAGGCCUUCGGGUCGUAAAGCACUGUGAGGUGGAACGAGCCGCCGGGGGCUAAUACCCUUCGGCCCGACGGUACCACCAGAGGAAGCACCGGCUAACCCCUGUGCCAGCAGCCGCGGUAAUACAGGGGGGUGCAAGCGUUGUUCGG
rnacentral:rRNA from 1 species